CGUGCUAAUCUGCGAUAAGCGCCGGUAAGGUGAUAUGAACCGUUAUAACCGGCGAUACCCGAAUGGGGAAACCCAGUGUGACUCGUCACACUAUCAUUAACUGAAUCCAUAGGUUAAUGAGGCGAACCGGGGGAACUGAAACAUCUAAGUACCCCGAGGAAAAGAAAUCAACCGAGAUUCCCCCAGUAGCGGCGAGCGAACGGGGAGGAGCCCAGAGCCUGAAUCAGCAUGUGUGUUAGUGGAAGCGUCUGGAAAGGCGCGCGAUACAGGGUGAC
rnacentral:rRNA from 2 species